GAGCAAGUGGCGGAAUUGGUAUACGCACCACCUUGAGGUGGUGGCGCCGAAAGGCAUGCGGGUUCGACCCCCGUCUUGCUCACCA
rnacentral:tRNA from 1 species